CCUACGGGAGGCAGCAGUGAGGAAUAUUGGUCAAUGGCCGAGAGGCUGAACCAGCCAAGUCGCGUGAGGGAAGAAUGUCCUAUGGAUUGUAAACCUCUUUUGUCAGGGUGCAAAGUCACCCACGUGUGGGUGUUGGAGAGUACCUGAAGAAAAAGCAUCGGCUAACUCCGUGCCAGCAGCCGCGGUAAUACGGAGGAUGCGAGCGUUAUCCGGAUGUAUUGGGUUUAAAGGGUGCGUAGGCGGGUUAUCAAGUCAGCGGUAAAAUUGUGGAGCUCAACUACAUCCAGCCGUUGAAACUGAUGAUCUUGAGUGGGCGAGAAGUAUGCGGAAUGCGUGGUGUAGCGGUGAAAUGCAUAGAUAUCACGCAGAACUCCGAUUGCGAAGGCAGCAUACCGGCGCCCGACUGACGCUGAAGCACGAAAGCGUGGGUAUCGAACAGGAUUAGAUACCCCAGUAGUC
rnacentral:rRNA from 1 species